AGUCUCCAGAAGUCUCACACAGCAAACUACACCUGUGAGAUCACCACGUUAAAUGGAAUUGCAGAUCCGAGGAGUUGGGAGCUGAUAAUAACAGAGCGUGAGGAAGCUGGACAUAUGGACAAGCUAGUGAUUGCUGUGGCAGCUGUUGUUCCUUGUGUGUGUUUCCUGACCUUUGCAUUAGCUUUCAUCAUUCUGCAAAGAGUCCGCAAAAAACGUGCAGAGGAUCAGGAGCAAGAAGAAGAUAUUUAUGAAAACUGCCUGGAAAGUCAACGACGUGGCUUUAAUCAGCCUCACCACAACAAACCCGGGGCUCACUGACAUGAAGCGCAGUCCAAAGAGAGAGAAGAAAAGGAAAAGGGAGUACUGGAAGUGGGCACGUGUGAAACAGCUCAUUUUAUAGAAACAACCAUCUUUUCAGAAAUAUAAACAAAUUGUAUACCUGUUUUUUUCCAUCCUCUAAAUUAUUCUCUAAAUUUCACUUUGAAUUACUUCAGUCCUUUUACUAUAUUUUUUACAUGCAACUUUUAAAUUGAUUUCUCUAUAAAUAUACUUGCAUGUGAUGAAGGGGGCAGCAGAACAAGGUUAACACCUGAUAUUAUCAACAUGUAAAGUUGUUACGGUAAAUGUGUUAGAUAGCCUAUUUACAUAUAUCCUUUAAAAAAGAUACUGCAUGGGUCCAUGAAACAGAGCAGCUGUGUGCCAUACAGGAAUAAUACAACUGCUCUAUGUUCCAUAAAG